UGAAUCCAUUGCUUAGCAUGGGAGAUGGAAU
rnacentral:piRNA from 1 species